rnacentral:rRNA from 1 species
UACGAAGGGGGCUAGCGUUGCUCGGAAUCACUGGGCGUAAAGGGUGCGUAGGCGGGUCUUUAAGUCAGGGGUGAAAUCCUGGAGCUCAACUCCAGAACUGCCUUUGAUACUGAAGAUCUUGAGUUCGGGAGAGGUGAGUGGAACUGCGAGUGUAGAGGUGAAACUCGUAGAUAUUCGCAAGAACACCAGUGGCGAAGGCGGCUCACUGGCCCGAUACUGACGCUGAGGCGCGAAAGCGUGGGGAGCAAACAGG